GACGAACGCUGGCGGCGUGCUUAACACAUGCAAGUCGAACGGAAAGGCCCUGCUUUUGUGGGGUGCUCGAGUGGCGAACGGGUGAGUAGCACGUGAGUAACCUGCCCUUGACUUUGGGAUAACUUCAGGGAACUGGGGCUAAUACCGGAUAGGAGCUCCUGCUGCAUGGUGGGGGUUGGAAAGUUUCGGCGGUUGGGGAUGGACUCGCGGCUUAUCAGCUUGUUGGUGGGGUAGUGGCUUACCAAGGCUUUGACGGGUAGCCGGCCUGAGAGGGUGACCGGCCACAUUGGGACUGAGAUACGGCCCAGACUCCUACGGGAGGCAGCAGUGGGGAAUAUUGCACAAUGGGCGGAAGCCUGAUGCAGCAACGCCGCGUGCGGGAUGACGGCCUUCGGGUUGUAAACCGCUUUCGCCUGUGACGAAGCGUGAGUGACGGUAAUGGGUAAAGAAGCACCGGCUAACUACGUGCCAGCAGCCGCGGUGAUACGUAGGGUGCGAGCGUUGUCCGGAUUUAUUGGGCGUAAAGGGCUCGUAGGUGGUUGAUCGCGUCGGAAGUGUAAUCUUGGGGCUUAACCCUGAGCGUGCUUUCGAUACGGGUUGACUUGAGGAAGGUAGGGGAGAAUGGAAUUCCUGGUGGAGCGGUGGAAUGCGCAGAUAUCAGGAGGAACACCAGUGGCGAAGGCGGUUCUCUGGGCCUUUCCUGACGCUGAGGAGCGAAAGCGUGGGGAGCGAACAGGCUUAGAUACCCUGGUAGUCCACGCUGUAAACGGUGGGUACUAGGUGUGGGGUCCAUUCCACGGGUUCCGUGCCGUAGCUAACGCUUUAAGUACCCCGCCUGGGGAGUACGGCCGCAAGGCUAAACUCAAAGGAAUUGACGGGGCCCCGCACAAGCGGCGGAGCAUGCGGAUUAAUUCGAUGCAACGCGUAGAACCUUACCUGGGUUUGACAUGGAUCGGGAGUGCUCAGAGAUGGGUGUGCCUCUUUUGGGGUCGGUUCACAGGUGGUGCAUGGCUGUCGUCAGCUCGUGUCGUGAGAUGUUGGGUUAAGUCCCGCAACGAGCGCAACCCUUGUUCACUGUUGCCAGCACGUUAUGGUGGGGACUCAGUGGAGACCGCCGGGGUCAACUCGGAGGAAGGUGGGGAUGACGUCAAGUCAUCAUGCCCCUUAUGUCCAGGGCUUCACGCAUGCUACAAUGGCUGGUACAGAGAGUGGCGAGCCUGUGAGGGUGAGCGAAUCUCGGAAAGCCGGUCUCAGUUCGGAUUGGGGUCUGCAACUCGACCUCAUGAAGUCGGAGUCGCUAGUAACCGCAGAUCAGCAACGCUGCGGUGAAUACGUUCCCGGGGCU
rnacentral:rRNA from 1 species